AUUGAACGCUGGCGGCAUGCCUUACACAUGCAAGUCGAACGGUAACAGGUCUUCGGAUGCUGACGAGUGGCGAACGGGUGAGUAAUACAUCGGAACGUGCCUAGUAGUGGGGGAUAACUACUCGAAAGAGUGGCUAAUACCGCAUGAGAUCUACGGAUGAAAGCAGGGGAUCGCAAGACCUUGUGCUACUAGAGCGGCCGAUGGCAGAUUAGGUAGUUGGUGGGUGAAAAGCUUACCAAGCCGACGAUCUGUAGCUGGUCUGAGAGGACGAUCAGCCACACUGGGACUGAGACACGGCCCAGACUCCUACGGGAGGCAGCAGUGGGGAAUUUUGGACAAUGGGCGAAAGCCUGAUCCAGCAAUGCCGCGUGCAGGAUGAAGGCCUUCGGGUUGUAGACUGCUUUUGUACGGAACGAAAAGCCCUGGGUUAAUACCCUGGGGUCAUGACGGUACCGUAAGAAUAAGCACCGGCUAACUACGUGCCAGCCGCCGCGGUAACAC
rnacentral:rRNA from 1 species